rnacentral:rRNA from 1 species
GACGGAAGGUGCAAGCGUUGCUCGGAAUCACUGGGCGUAAAGGGUGCGUAGGCAGCUUGUCACGUCGGGUGUGAAAGCCCGGGGCUUAACCCCGGGUCUGCAUUCGAUACGGGCUAGCUAGAGUGUGGUAGGGGAGAUCGGAAUUCCUGGUGUAGCGGUGAAAUGCGCAGAUAUCAGGAGGAACACCGGUGGCGAAGGCGGAUCUCUGGGCCAUUACUGACGCUGAGGAGCGAAAGCGUGGGGAGCGAACAGG